CACACACACAAUCACACACACAUAUACACACACAAACGCACACAUCGGCGACUUGCUUUUGGCGGAGAUGACUAGUGAGAGAUAUUUCACUCGUCAGCUGGCCCCUCUUCGCAUCAUGUUAUUGACGCGAGAUCAGUGACGCAGUGCCUCAAAAGUAUGUCACGCCGUACAUUUCAUAGUCUGUUCCUCUCAAAGUCACUUCCCCUUGUUAUUUCCUAUAGGGACAGAAGGACGGACGAGGAGUCAUCUCAGUCAAUACGUCGGAAGUAGUGGUGUAUUAUCUUAAACUGCAGCAGCUGUUUUAAGGCAGGAACAGAAAGCGAGCAAAAAACCCGACGAGAUAACGGGGUGACCAAAAACAACGCUCAACAGUAUGCCCACUGCAGACAGACAGUCGAAGUCGGUUGAUCUGAAGCGAGGCCAUUAAAUUCAGAUUUUUUUCUCCUUUGAGAAGCAAAAGCUA